rnacentral:rRNA from 1 species
UUGAACGCUGGCGGCAUGCCUUACACAUGCAAGUCGAACGGUAGAGUAGCAAUACUUGAGAGUGGCGAACGGGUGAGUAAUAUAUCGGAACGUGCCCAAUUUCGGGGGAUAACGUAGAGAAAUUUACGCUAAUACCGCAUACGAUCUAAGGAUGAAAGCGGGGGAUCGCAAGACCUCGCGCAAUUGGAGCGGCUGAUAUCAGAUUAGCUUGUUGGUGAGGUAAAAGCUCACUAAGGCGACGAUCUGUAGCUGGUUUGAGAGAACGACCAGCCACACUGGGACUGAGACACGGCCCAGACUCCUACGGGAGGCAGCAGUGGGGAAUUUUGGACAAUGGGCGAAAGCCUGAUCCAGCAAUGCCGCGUGCAGGAAGAAGGCCUUCGGGUUGUAAACUGCUUUUGUACGGAACGAAACGGUCUGCUUUAAUACAGUGGGCUAAUGACGGUACCGUAAGAAUAAGCACCGGCUAACUACGU